GACGAACGCUGGCGGCGUGCUUAACACAUGCAAGUCGUACGGUAAGGCCCUUUCGGGGGUCCACGAGUGGCGAACGGGUGCGUAACACGUGAGUAACCUGCCCACAACUUUGGGAUAACGCUAGGAAACUGGUGCUAAUACUGGAUAUGUGCUCCUGCUGCAUGGUGGGGGUUGGAAAGCUCCGGCGGUUGUGGAUGGACUCGCGGCCUAUCAGCUUGUUGGUGGGGUAGUGGCCUACCAAGGCGGCGACGGGUAGCCGGCCUGAGAGGGUGACCGGCCACAUUGGGACUGAGAUACGGCCCAGACUCCUACGGGAGGCAGCAGUGGGGAUUAUUGCACAAUGGGCGCAAGCCUGAUGCAGCAACGCCGCGUGCGGGAUGACGGCCUUCGGGUUGUAAACUGCUUUCAGCAGGGACGAAGCUUUUUGUGACGGUACCUGCAGAAGAAGCACCGGCUAACUACGUG
rnacentral:rRNA from 1 species